rnacentral:rRNA from 1 species
GACAGAGGUCCCGAGCGUUUAGGCGGAAUCACUGGGCUUAAAGCGUGUGUAGGCGGAUCGUUAAGUACCUUGUGAAAUCCCACGGCUUAACCGUGGAACGGCUUGGUAUACUGGCGGUCUUGAGCCACUUAGGGGCUACCGGAACAAAUGGUGGAGCGGUGAAAUGCGUAGAUAUCAUUUGGAACGCCAAUGGUGAAAACAGGUAGCUGGGAGUGUGCUGACGCUGAGACACGAAAGCCAGGGGAGCAAACGGG